UACGUAGGGUGCGAGCGUUAAUCGGAAUUACUGGGCGUAAAGCGUGCGCAGGCGGUGAUGUAAGACAGGUGUGAAAUCCCCGGGCUUAACCUGGGAACUGCAUUUGUGACUGCAUCGCUGGAGUGCGGCAGAGGGGGAUGGAAUUCCGCGUGUAGCAGUGAAAUGCGUAGAUAUGCGGAGGAACACCGAUGGCGAAGGCAAUCCCCUGGGCCUGCACUGACGCUCAUGCACGAAAGCGUGGGGAGCAA
rnacentral:rRNA from 1 species